CAGAUCGGAGUUUACCUGCAUCAGGUAGGUCAGAUCAGAGUUUACCUGCAUCAGGUAGGUCAGAUCGGAGUUUACCUGAUCAGGUAGGUCAGAUCAGAGUUUACCUGCAUCAGGUAGGUCAGAUCGGAGUUUACCUGCAUCAGGUAGGUCAGAUCGGAGUUUACUUGCAUCAGGUAGGUCAGAUCAGAGUUUACCUGCAUCAGGUAGGUCAGAUCGGAGUUUACCUGCAUCAGGUAGGUCAGAUCGGAGUUUACCUGCAUCAGGUAGGUCAGAUCGGAGUUUACUUGCAUCAGGUAGGUCAGAUCGGAGUUUACCUGCAUCAGGUAGGUCAGAUCGGAGUUUACCUGCAUCAGGUAGGUCAGAUCGGAGUUUACCUGCAUCAGGUAGGUCAGAUCGGAGUUUACCUGCAUCAGGUAGGUCAGAUCGGAGUUUACCUGCAUCAGGUAGGUCAGAUCGGAGUUUACCUGCAUCAGGUAGGUCAGAUCAGAGUUUACCUGCAUCAGGUAGGUCAGAUCGGAGUUUACCUGCAUCAGGUAGGUCAGAUCAGAGUUUACCUGCAUCAGGUAGGUCAGAUCGGAGUUUACCUGAUCAGGUAGGUCAGAUCGGUGUUUACCUGCAUCAGGUAGGUCAGAUCAUAGUUUACCUGAUCAGGUAGGUCAGAUCGGAGUUUACCUGAUCAGGUAGGUCAGAUCGGUGUUUACCUGCAUCAGGUAGGUCAGAUCAUAGUUUACCUGAUCAGGUAGGUCAGAUCGGAGUUUACCUGAUCAGGUAGGUCAGAUCAUAGUUUACCUGAUCAGGUAGGUCAGAUCAGAGUUUACCUGAUCAGGUAGGUCAGAUCGG